UACGAAGGGGGCGAGCGUUGUCCGGAAUCACUGGGCGUAAAGGGCGCGUAGGUGGCCCGACAAGUCAAUGGUGAAAGCUCGACGCUCAACGUCGAGUCGGCCACUGAUACUGUUGGGCUGGAGCACUGUAGAGGCUCAUGGAAUUCCGGGUGUAGCGGUGGAAUGCGUAGAGAUCCGGAAGAACACCGGUGGCGAAGGCGGUGAGCUGGGCAGUAGCUGACACUGAGGCGCGACAGCGUGGGGAGCAAACAGG
rnacentral:rRNA from 1 species